rnacentral:lncRNA from 7 species
ACUCUCAGGGACCCGUGUGGCGCUGUGGGGCCGAGGGAGUCCUGCUCCGGGAUGAGGGUGGGGACCCCCAGCUCAAGUGCCAUCCAAAGGGCUGCCGUGCGGUUUGAAUACAGAUUCUGGAUACAACUCUUACUGGCCGAAGGAAAAGAGUACCACUGUCAGCUCGAUGGAUGCAGAUAUGCUGUGGCCCCCACACCCCCCGCGGCUCCAGCCUCCAGUCCCCCUUUACACGAAUACAGCGGCUCUGCACUCCCAGGCUCUUCCAAGGGGUUAAGCUGCUAAAAUGUCCUGACAGCUUAAGGAAUGAAUGAGGGUUUUUUCAGCCAUGAAGAAAGAGUAUUUAAUAACCACGCUUCGAUGGCAUCAUGUGUCCACGAAAAGAGUCGGGACACCUUAGAUUAACAACCUCUAACAUCGCGUUGGGUACAGUAAAUGCCUGGACGUACGCAUUUAUAACUCUAUCCCCCGGAUUCUAAGCUUGUCUUAUUUAUUCCAGGUUACCUGGGCAAUUAAGGUAAGAGCAGCUCAGCAGACAGCGAUAUCCCGCUGCUCGGGCAGGGCGAGCGGGGCCGGAACGCAGCGCUAACAAAGGCGAGAGGUGGUCAUACAGAUUGAAGAGGGGUGAAUGGGACUGGAGGUGGAGGAAUGAAUGGAAGCUAAGAGAGAGAGGAAGACGUAUUCAGCGGUCCACCCUUACAUCCGCGUUUGUAUAUUUAAGUUUAGGUGUCUGUCUCUAACCGACUUUCAGUUAAUCCCUAACAGCUGGUCGUAGUGCUAACGUUUAGUGAUUAGAAGUUACUCUAUUUAGCAUGCUGUAUCCUUCUUGCCUGGGUUUUGGUUACAGGUUAUACGAUUAGCAUUGCGAGAACAGUAGUGAACUAAACUUCCCAGUGAGAGGUCUUCACACCAGGGAAGUGUUACUUUGCGGCAGCAGCCCUGCCUCGUCAGUCAUUAGGAAGCUGCAGGUUGUCAGAGCCUUCUCUUGCGCGCACACACGCGCAGACACACACGCGCACACACAAAACCAUAGCACUAAAACUAAAUUAAGAAGCCGAUGAUUAAGACAAGCGUCUACGAGGCCUGUCAUUUCAGCAUCCUUCCAUCAUAAUGUUAUGGCACCGAGAAAUUUGCUUGAAAACCCUGGAAAAAAUGUCUAUGGGAGAGCCUGGUAUUUGAGAUAGCGUAAAUGUUAACAUCGAGUGGAGGCUGGGAGCUUCCGCGGAUGCAAGAUGGUAUUCCACUGAGGACACGGGUGCUGCAGGGACCUCUGGGCUGUCCGCACACUCGGAAUCCCAUCCAUGGAGAGCCUAUCUGUAGACGUCGAGCUUCCAUUAGAAUUUGUCUGUUCUUCUGCCACUGCCAGAAUUUUUCAAAACAGAACGUUCUGACACUCGCUGCCAACCCGAAGGCUCGGAGGUGCUUUUUUUGCAAAACCCGAGGUGUCGCCCUUCUGUUACACAGCGGUGUGUUUGAGUGUCACCUCCGUCUGUGUGAUGCGUAUCCUCGCGAAACAAACAAAAAGACCACUAAGGGUCAGAAUGGAAAUUAAAAUAUCCCUGAAGAAUUACUCACAGAGCUAUGAUGAUAAUAAAACGUAGGGGGUAUUGGGCCACUUAAAAGUCGUAUAUUGUUCUCGAGGUUUCAAUACAACAUUUUAUUUUAUU